rnacentral:rRNA from 1 species
UGGGGAAUAUUGCACAAUGGGCGCAAGCCUGAUGCAGCCAUGCCGCGUGUAUGAAUAAGGCCUUCGGGUUUUAAUGUACUUUCAGCGGGGAGGAAGGGAGUAAAGUUAAUACCUUUGCUCAUUGACGUUACCCGCAGAAGAAGCACCGGCUAACUCCGUGCCAGCAGCCGCGGUAAUACGGAGGGUGCAAGCGUUAAUCGGAAUUACUGGGCGUAAAGCGCACGCAGGCGGUUUGUUAAGUCAGAUGUGAAAUCCUCGGGCUCAACCUGGGAACUGCAUCUGAUACUGGCAAGCUUGAGUCUCGUAGAGGGGGGUAGAAUUCCAGGUGUAGCGGUGAAAUGCGUAGAGAUCUGGAGGAAUACCGGUGGCGAAGGCGGCCCCCUGGACGAAGACUGACGAUCAGGUGCGAAAGCGUGGGGAGCAAACAGG